rnacentral:rRNA from 1 species
CCCUUAGAUGUUCUGGGCCGCACGCGUGCUACACUGAGUGGAUCAGCGGGUCAGGUUGCGCGAAAGCGUUUCCUAAUCUUUAAAUCCGCUCGUGAUGGGGAUUGACGGUUGCAAUUUUCUGUCAUGAACGAGGAAUACCUUGUAAGCGCGGGUCAUCAUCCCGCGCUGAAUACGUCCCUGCCCUUUGUACACACCGCCCGUCGCUACUACCGAUUGAAUGGUUUAGUGAGAUCCUUGGAUCGGCCCCGUCGCGGCUGGCAACGGCCGCGUCGGCGUGUCGAGAAGACGAUCAAACUUGAUCAUUUAGAGGAAGUAAAAGUCGUAACA